UGGGGAAUCUUCCGCAAUGGGCGAAAGCCUGACGGAGCAACGCCGCGUGAGUGAAGACGGCCUUCGGGUUGUAAAGCUCUGUUAUAUGGGACGAACGGGUGUAUGGUCAAUACCCAUACGCCGUGACGGUACCGUAAGAGAAAGCCACGGCUAACUACGUGCCAGCAGCCGCGGUAAUACGUAGGUGGCAAGCGUUGUCCGGAAUCAUUGGGCGUAAAGGGCGCGCAGGCGGUUCGGUAAGUCGGUCUUAAAAGUGCGGGGCUUAACCCCGUGAUGGGAUUGAAACUGCCGGACUGGAGUGCCGGAGAGGAAAGCAGAAUUCCUAGUGUAGCGGUGAAAUGCGUAGAUAUUAGGAGGAAUACCAGUGGCGAAAGCGGCUUUCUGGACGACAACUGACGCUGAGGCGCGAAAGCCAGGGGAGCAAACGGGAUUAGAUACCCCGGUAGUCCUGGCCGUAAACGAUGGAUACUAGGUGUAGGGAGGUAUCGACCCCUUCUGUGCCGGAGUUAACGCAAUAAGUAUCCCGCCUGGGGAGUACGGCCGCAAGGUUGAAACUCUAAAGUG
rnacentral:rRNA from 1 species